UACGGGUUACUGGGCGGAGAUGACCUUU
rnacentral:sRNA from 1 species